GGCAGCACGGGAGCAAUCCUGGUGGCGAGUGGCGAACGGGUGAGUAAUAUAUCGGAACGUGCCCAGUCGUGGGGGAUAACGUAGCGAAAGUUACGCUAAUACCGCAUACGAUCUACGGAUGAAAGCGGGGGAUCGCAAGACCUCGCGCGAUUGGAGCGGCCGAUAUCAGAUUAGCUUGUUGGUGGGGUAAAAGCCCACCAAGGCGACGAUCUGUAGCUGGUCUGAGAGGACGACCAGCCACACUGGGACUGAGACACGGCCCAGACUCCUACGGGAGGCAGCAGUGGGGAAUUUUGGACAAUGGGCGCAAGCCUGAUCCAGCAAUGCCGCGUGCAGGAUGAAGGCCUUCGGGUUGUAAACUGCUUUUGUACGGAACGAAACGGUCCUUUCUAAUACAAGGGGCUAAUGACGGUACCGUAAGAAUAAGCACCGGCUAACUACGUGCCAGCAGCCGCGGUAAUACGUAGGGUGCGAGCGUUAAUCGGAAUUACUGGGCGUAAAGCGUGCGCAGGCGGUUUUGUAAGACAGAUGUGAAAUCCCCGGGCUUAACCUGGGACCUGCAUUUGUGACUGCAAGGCUGGAGUACGGUAGAGGGGGAUGGAAUUCCGCGUGUAGCAGUGAAAUGCGUAGAUAUGCGGAGGAACACCGAU
rnacentral:rRNA from 1 species